GCUGCGCCCUGAGAACAUGGCGGGCCUGGGGAGGGGAUGGACACCCAGUAUUUGCGGUCGUUCAGCUGCCUUGGGGCUCCCUCAUCGCCUCCCAGCGCGGGGAGCCUCGGGGAGAGGCCACGCGCAGGGUUCUGGCUGGGUAUGGCCGUCGUGGUGGUGCCAGCCAGAGCCCUGAGGAACAGCCGAGCCCGGUUGUGAUGAGGGGUCCCCUCAGAGCCAUGGGAAGGGUUUCAGGUGUAGUGAUCCGCGUAGGUGGUUUGGAAAAAAGUUCUUGGAAGCCCACACGUUAAAAAAAAAAUUAAAAUUGGGGAAUGGCCUCUUGAGAGAUAUAAAAUACAAUAUUUCACGUAUUUUUGCAACUUUUUUUAAGUGAUCUUUCCUUAAAAGUAAUUUUUAAAGUGUGUAAGUUUCUCCUUUUGAAGAUGCUGUGGGCCCUCAGUGCUCAGUGAGCAUAUUCGGUAAUCUUAUUAGUAAUCUUUUUCAUGUGCUCAGAUAUCUUAGAGGUAUUUUUCAACCUAAAUUAUUCUACUUUUGUACUAAUUUGGGAAAAAACUGGGCUAGAGAAUGACUAAAUUAUCAUCGUUCCUUAGGGUUCUUUAAAUCUUUUCCAGCAUUAAAAAAUCCAUAAUUUUUUGAUUUGUUUUAUUUCCCUGACCAGGUUCAUUACUGUCACCUUGAAGGGAAGGCAAGAAAAGCUCUAAAAAUCAUUAAAAUUCCAUUGAAAAGGGAAAUAAUUCCACAGUGCCCUUCCUUUGCUGUGUCCACAUCACAGGAGUGAGGAGUCACACAAGACAGAGGCCACCAAGGCCGUUUGAUGUUAUCAAAGAGCUGCUACAGGAUGGGUUUGAAACAGCUCCACAUCAUGUGGCAAAAUCCUGGAGUCAUCCUUGCCCAUGGAAAGGCCUCGUUCCUCCAAGGACACGGUGACACAAAGGGAUGAAGAGCUGGUGUUUUCAGUCUGGUUUUUUUUUUUGCUGUUCCUCAGGUGGCCAAAAUGCUGUUGCUGGUGUUUGGUUUGUUACUUUUUUCAAGCUUAGAGUGACUCACACACUUCCAUUUUGAAAAGGACCUGUAAAAAUGGCACCAUAGGGGCUUUGUUGUUUUGCUUCUCCAUGAGGUUGUACCAGGGCUGGCUGCAGCCACUGAUGAGAACAUGUGCCUGUGUUUGGAAGAAAUUCUGGGAAUCUUUACAGUUGCAUCUCUUUCACUGUCCCACAGCAAAGGAACAAAAAGAGAGGCAAUCCUGCAGGAAGGACAGCUGGAAUACAUGGCUGAGAUAUAACUUCCCUCUGUGUGAAGCUGAUUUAAGGGCUUAGAACCCCUUCAACUUCUUUGACUAAGCUCCCACAUGGUCAGUUAACAAGGAUGGAGAUGUUUCUCCUCCCUACAAGUCCUGCAAAGUUGGAAACUUAGAAUUUAUUUUGCAGGCUUGGAGGGAGAGUGGUGCUUGGUUUAUUUAUCAUCACUGGUUGUGAUCUAUGUUCUUGUUCCACUGCAGUGUCAUGAGAUAAUUAAUACUAAAACACCCCUGCUUGUUAGUUUACAUGUUUCUGAUGCCUUUAAAAUCAGUAAAAAAGGGCUGAUGACAUUGCACAGGGGAAAACAGAAUUUAAUACAUUUGUCUUGCAUCCAGAAUUACUUGGCAAAGCUGAUGGUGCACAGGGGACCCGACUCCAAGACUAAAACCAAGCCUUGCUGAAAUCUGAAAGCACAGAUUGCACCCUGGAUGAAUGUGGGCAGGAGCUGGAUGAAUAAAGAGGUAUUAAUUCUUACUGCAUCUACCAUUGAAGUGGAAUAGAAGUGGGCAAGUAGGAUGGAAUUAAUCUGGUUUUCUCGAGACCUUUUUUUUUAGGGCUUCACUCAUAGCAACAGUUCACCUAAACCCAUUUCCAAUACUUGCUGUAAUAGAAAAAAAACACCUUUGUCAUGCAGAGAAAGGCAAGACCAAAACCACAUCUAAGAAAAAACAUUUGAAAACCCCCCACCACCACAAAACUCACUCUGUUAUUUGACUUCUGAAACAGGUUCCAAAGAGCAAGUCCACAUGUGUAGGAUAAGAUCAGGACAUCAAUACAUAAUGCUUGUUCUCCAUCAGAGAGAUUUAAAUUUAUCCUGUCAACAUGAGUUAAUUAAUAAUUAAAAAGGGCACUGUGAUCCUUAUGUGGGAGGUCUUAUAAAACGAAAAUUCAAGCAAUUUGAGAUCAGUAGAUUCCUGCUUAUUAAAAAACAUGUUCAGGGAUUUAUUCUAUUAAUGUUUCAAUUACAGUUUAAGCAGCAUCUGAUGUGCAUUUAAGCAUUAUAGAAGCUGUGACUGCCCCAUCCCUGGAAGUGUCCAAGGCCAGGCUGGAGUAACCAGGGAUAGUGGAAGGUGUCCCUGCCCAUGGCAGGGGGUGAAAUGAGUUGAUCUUUGAGGUCUCUUCCAAACCAUUCUGUGAUUCCUCUUGCUGAUCUUCUGACUCUUCAUCUUCUCUUGAAUCCUCAUGAGGGAAGUCUCAUAUGGUCCUUCUCACAUUGGUUUUCUUUCUAAUCCAACUGUGCUGUCUUGAACUUCACCUUUUCAGAGCUAACAUUGGGUUUGCCCUAUGACAGGUCACUUUAAAUGUCCAAGUGGACAGACAUUUGGAAUUAGAGUCCAACUAAAGUCAAACCAGGCCAAAAUAAACUGCAUUCUGGUCUAGCACAAGAUUAGCCCUUAAAUAAAUAGUGAGGAGCCGGAGCAGUCUGUACAGCAGAUGGCAUUACAGGUAAUAUUUAUCACACUCCAAUCUCAGGGCUAAGAUACUUGGGAGGGAGGAUUGACGUCAGCUACGAGUGAAUCAGUUUUAAAACAAGCUGGAAACCUGCUUGUGCCUUCAGCACUGGAUUACUUUGUGCAGCACUUCUGCUUUGCACUCCCAGGUGCAUUUAUUGGUCUGAGCAAGCCUAGCAGGAAGAGCUCAUUCUGCUUUUGCAGCUUAAGUGAGCUGAUGUAAAUAGAUCUUGGACUUUGAGGUGGGAAGAUUCCACCCAGCUGCAGUAACCAGGGGGAUGCCCUUUGCUCCAGUUUUUGUGCCAAAUUUGUGCAUUGGGGAAUUUUAAAGAAAUAUCACUUGGCGGGAUAUCGACUCUGAGGGUACAAGAAUAACACUGAGUAAGGCAGCAGGGCAUGGGCUGGGAGGGAUUUACAGGGAGAGCUAUCCAGACUGACACUGAGCAGUGGAGAAAACCAGUUCUGAAGUAUUUUAUUAAAAACAGUUGGGUUUUUGUCUCACAGGAUCCCAGAGAAGAUCCUCUGAAUGAAAAACCAGGAGCAGUUUUUCAUCUGGGCACAGCGUCCUUGUGCAGGAGUGACAGAGUUCAUCAAAGGUUACUAAUUACCAUGUAAAUCAUGAGGUUGUCUGGCUGUCUGGACAGACUUGGGUGGGUGACCUGGGGUAGAAUCAUGGGGUCAUUAAGAUUGGAAAAGACUUCCAAGAUGAAGCCCAACCUUUGACCAAAUACCCCCAUGCCCACUAAACUGUGUCACAAAGUGCCACAUCUACUCAUUUUUUGAUCACUUCAAGGGAUUGUGACUCCACCACUUCCCUGGGGAGGCUGUUCCAGAGACUUUCAAGGAUGGAGGAGUGUGAAGAGCUCACAGUGUGCCUUGGCUUGGGAGCACUUAGGGAAGCACAGAGUUGUGCUCUGCCAAAUGAGUUUGUCAGCCCUGAGCCCACGAUGUCCCUCAGCAUUUGAGCCAUGGCUACUGGGCAAAGUGGCACGGAGAGAACCCUUCCAGCCCUGGAAAACUCAGCAUUGAGGCAUGGAGAGUUCAUCUUUAGCUGGCGGGGGGAUCACAUGCUGAGCAGCACAGCCAGGUAAUGCAGGACAGGUCACCUUGCACCAACCUGAGCUGCCUCAGGGCACUGCAGGCAGCAGCACAGAACAAGGGGUUAGGCCAGGCUGGACUUGAACUAGACAGGACCUGGGCAAGGAGGAGGAAGAACAAGGAGGAAGAAUGAGACUUGGGGAAGGCAAAGAAUGAUUCUGUGGGGGAAACUCUGCAAAUAUGUGCUUCCUUUUGCCGAUAAAGGAGGGUGUGAGGCACUGAGAUGAGCUACCUUGUUUGUCUGCUCUCACACCCUGCCAGGCCCUGGCAGCAGCACUCCCUUAUCUCCAGCACAUUGGUGCAUUGAGCUGUGCAGCCUUCCCUAAUCCACCACACUGGGCCUGGGCUGCUCCUCCUUCUCUUUCUCCCUGUUCUAACGGGAGGAUUAAUUUUUUAAUAAAUUUGGAUACUCUUUCAGCUUUA